ensembl:lncRNA LINC00943 long intergenic non-protein coding RNA 943
AGAGACUGAAAAUAAGAAAGGGGUGAGGCCUAAGGGACAAUCAGGAUGUUUUUCAGAGAGAAGUGUGGAUGCUGGACAGGAAGAACCACAGAUACCAGAUACGGGACAUACUUUAUUCAGCUGGGUGCUGAAAAAGAAUCUUGGAAAUUAGGAAACUGAAUGAGGCCUCAUUUCACACUCAGAAUGUGGGUUGCAAUAGUCACUUCCUCUGCUGCUGGGAAAGAAAGAAUUAUACUACCUUUUGAAUUUUGGAUUAAGGAGAGAGGUGUUGGCUUGUCAAACUACCAUGUAUUCCUCAAGACAUAUUUUUGUGGCUUUAUAAAAUUCAAUAUAUAUGUCUAAAUUCAAAAAUAUUUUGUUGCAAUCUGGCCCUUGGACAAACUGAGGCCCUAGCAACUGAUGUUUAUGGCUUUCCGUAGAACCUUUCAGAUAAAAUUUACACAGCAUUUUACUGCAGCUAUUUCACACAAAGCAGAGGAUUUUGCCACAAAACUGAAAGAAAAAAGAAACUGCAUUCUUAAAUUUUUCAUAAAUCAAAAGGUAUAAAAAUAUCUACCUAAACGAUAAAGGAGAUGAGAAACCCCACCCAUGAUGGGAAGAAAGCCUAUUUCAGUUUUGCCUUUACUUCAAGUUCUUUUUUCCAUAUCUGGAAUGCAAUCAGAAUUUUAAUCUUGCCUUGGGUUCCUCCUGGAUUUGGGGAGAAGACAAAACCUGAAAAUCUCUAAUCUGCAUGUGUUCAGCUGCGUAUCUUCUGGAUACGGAAGGAUCACACUGCACAGAGUGCUGGACUUGCAGGAGCCCCGCUUCUCAACCUCCAUCGCUUUAUGAAUGAAUUCACCAGAAAGAAAAGGAAGAAUCAACACUUUCAGAGAUGGAGCCUGUUGAGCCACAGUACCAACUAGUCAAUGCUGAAUCGACUUCUCCCUUUCUACAUUGCCUGAGAGAAGUCAUUGGGGAAUACUCUGUACACGAAUUUUCACUGUUGGGGAAAACAGAGAGUCAAGGGAUUGGAUUGUGGAUUGCAUUGGUGGUUUUCCUCAGUUUCCUCAUCUUCUCCACAAGUUUCUACAUAUCGAAUGCAGAGCAGCCCUUCUUCAAAGGACCUCCUACGGAAGCUGCUAAGGAACUCAGUCUGUAGCUCUGCGUGGAGCCAUGUGUAAACACUGAACUGAGACCUGCCACCUCCUACUACCUAAGGGCCCAUUUUCAUCUGAUAUCAUCCCCCAGAAACAAACUCAUGAUGACUUCCAUGUUUUUUUUAGAUUAGAUACAUGGAGAAUUUUCCUUUCCCUUAGAAUUAAAAUCCUGCAUUCUAAUUUUCAGGUAAAACUUUUUCGUCUCUACAGAACUCUCUCCAAGUGCACACCCAUAGAUUGGUUUGCUUGUGGAAUCCUAGCAUAUCAGAAAUGAAGGAAUCUCAGAAAUUGUUUUCAUCAAACACCUCAUAUGCAGAAGGCAAAAUGAAGGUUCAGAGCAGAAAUGAUUUGUCCAAGGAUGCAACACUCAUCUGCAGCAGAGGGAAGCUGAGCUCUGCAGACCCACCUAGCACUGCAGAGGCAGCCCUCUAGGACAAGGCUUCAUAAAAAAGUGACUUUAUGAGUUGGCUCCAUAAAAAAGAUACAGAUUAAGAAA